ensembl:lncRNA
CAGCAGACACCUUAGCACACAGAACUGUAGCGUGUAUGACUCAAAAUGAAUAAAAAAGUAGUUAAAACAGUGUGUUUGUGCAAGGAGCUACUUACCUGUUUGUUGACAUCCGUGUGUUCCGGUAGCUAGACCAAACUAGCAUAUCCAUCGAGUGUGCACUUAACAGGCUUAACAGGCUAUUGUAAGGCUCAUGGCUCAUGACAGGCUGUAACAUGGACAUGUACAUUAUGAACAUAAACACGAAAAUGCUGGAUUACGUUUCCGUCUCCGCCAGUGAGGGAGUAAAUGCACGCUCGACGGAUCAGCUAGUUUAGCCUAGCUACCGGAAGACGCCGAUGUCAACAAACAGGGUUGUGAGCUGUAGUUUCCCUUCAGGUGACGCUUCGAGCAAAACAUUCUUCAAAGUGUUACCAGAAAGCAGGCAGGACUGGAUCUACACAAUCAACUGCACUGCAAUCUCAUAUAAACCACUUUGGCAAUAAGUGAGUGUGUGUAAGCCC